rnacentral:rRNA from 1 species
GCUUGCUAUUUUUAUGAAGAGCGGCGAACGGGUGAGUAACGCGUGGGAAAUCUGCCGAGUAGCGGGGGACAACGUUUGGAAACGAACGCUAAUACCGCAUAACAAUGAGAAUCGCAUGAUUCUUAUUUAAAAGAAGCAAUUGCUUCACUACUUGAUGAUCCCGCGUUGUAUUAGCUAGUUGGUAGUGUAAAGGACUACCAAGGCGAUGAUACAUAGCCGACCUGAGAGGGUGAUCGGCCACACUGGGACUGAGACACGGCCCAGACUCCUACGGGAGGCAGCAGUAGGGAAUCUUCGGCAAUGGGGGCAACCCUGACCGAGCAACGCCGCGUGAGUGAAGAAGGUUUUCGGAUCGUGAAACUCUGUUGAUAGAGAAGAACGUUAAGUAGAGUGGAAAAUUACUUAAGUGACGGUAUCUAACCAGAAAGGGACGGCUAACUACGUGCCAGCAGCCGCGGUAAUACCUAGGUCCCAAGCGUUGUCCGGAUUUAUUGGGCGUU